rnacentral:rRNA from 1 species
UGGGGAAUUUUGGACAAUGGGCGAAAGCCUGAUCCAGCAAUGCCGCGUGUGUGAAGAAGGCCUUCGGGUUGUAAAGCACUUUUGUCCGGAAAGAAAUCCUUGGCUCUAAUACAGUCGGGGGAUGACGGUACCGGAAGAAUAAGCACCGGCUAACUACGUGCCAGCAGCCGCGGUAAUACGUAGGGUGCAAGCGUUAAUCGGAAUUACUGGGCGUAAAGCGUGCGCAGGCGGUUUGCUAAGACCGAUGUGAAAUCCCCGGGCUCAACCUGGGAACUGCAUUGGUGACUGGCAGGCUAGAGUAUGGCAGAGGGGGUAGAAUUCCACGUGUAGCAGUGAAAUGCGUAGAGAUGUGGAGGAAUACCGAUGGCGAAGGCAGCCCCCUGGGCCAAUACUGACGCUCAUGCACGAAAGCGUGGGGAGCAAACAGGAUUAGAUACCCUGGUAGUCCACGCCCUAAACGAUGUCAACUAGUUGUUGGGGAUUCAUUUCCUUAGUAACGUAGCUAACGCGUGAAGUUGACCGCCUGGGGAGUACGGUCGCAAGAUUAAAACUCAAAUGAAUUGACGGGGUCAUAGCUG